CCCGCUGAACUUAAGCAUAUCAAUAAGCGGAGGAAAAGAAACUAACAAGGAUUCCCUUAGUAACUGCGAGUGAAGAGGGAAAAGCUCAAAUUUAAAAUCUGGCAGUUAUUUGCUGUCCGAAUUGGAAAUGGGAGAAGUGUUAUCUGCGCUGGCCUGUGCGUAAGUCUCUUGUAAAAGAGCAUCAUAGAGGGUGACAAUCCCGUCUUUGGCACAGACUACCAGGGCUUUUGUGAUGCGCUCUCAACGAGACGAGUUGUUUGGGAAUGCAGCUCCCAAUGGGUGGUAAAUUCCAUCUCAAGCUAAAUAUUGUCGAGAGACCGAUAGUGCACGAAGUACCGUGAGGGAAAGAUGAAAAGAACUUUGGAAAGAGAGAUAAACAGUACGUGAAAUUGUUGAAAGGGAAACGCUCGAAGUCAGUCAUGUCUCAAUGAAAUCAACCUGGCUACUUGUCUGGUGUACUUUCUGUGGGACAGGUCAGCAUCAGUUCUGAUUGCUGGAAAAAGACCUUGGCGAAUGUGACAUCUUUUCGAAGAUGUGUUAUAGCCCUCGGACCACAUGCAGUGAUUGGGACUGAGGAACUCGAUGUGUGAAAUAACACAUUCAAGGAUGCUGGCAUAAUGGCUUUAAUCGACCCGUCUUGAAACACGG
rnacentral:rRNA from 1 species